rnacentral:rRNA from 1 species
ACUCCUACGGGAGGCAGCAGUAGGGAUAUUGGUCAAUGGCCGUUAGGUGAACCAGCCAAGUCACGUGAAGGAAGACGGCCCUAUGGGUUGUAAACUUCUUUUACAGGGGAAUAAAAACAGAUACGUGUAUUUGAUUGCAUGUACCUUGUGAAUAAGCAUCGGCUAACUCCGUG